CCUACGGGGGGCAGCAGUGAGGAAUAUUGGUCAAUGGACGAGAGUCUGAACCAGCCAAGUCGCGUGAAGGAUGACUGCCCUAUGGGUUGUAAACUUCUUUUAUAAAGGAAUAAAACGAGCCACGUGUGCCUUUUUGCAUGUACUUUAUGAAUAAGGAUCGGCUAACUCCGUGCCAGCAGCCGCGGUAAUACGGAGGAUCCGAGCGUUAUCCGGAUUUAUUGGGUUUAAAGGGAGCGUAGAUGGGUUGUUAAGUCAGUGGUGAAAGUUUGCGGCUCAACCGUAAAAGUGCCAUUGAUACUGGCAUUCUUGAGUACAGUUGAGGUAGGCGGAAUUCGUGGUGUAGCGGUGAAAUGCUUAGAUAUCACGAAGAACCCCGAUUGCGAAGGCAGCUUACUAAUCUGUGACUGACACUGAUGCUCGAAAGUGUGGGUAUCAAACAGGAUUAGAUACCCCAGUAGUC
rnacentral:rRNA from 1 species